rnacentral:rRNA from 1 species
AGUGAACGCUGGCGGCAGGCCUAACACAUGCAAGUCGAGCGGCAGCGCGGGGGCAACCCUGGCGGCGAGCGGCGGACGGGUGAGGAAUGCAUCGGAAUCUACCUCGUUGUGGGGGAUAACCUCGGGAAACCGGGACUAAUACCGCAUACGACCUACGGGUGAAAGUGGGGGACCUUCGGGCCUCACGCGAUGAGAUGAGCCGAUGCCGGAUUAGCUAGUUGGCGGGGUAAAGGCCCACCAAGGCGACGAUCCGUAGCUGGUCUGAGAGGAUGAUCAGCCACACUGGAACUGAGACACGGUCCAGACUCCUACGGGAGGCAGCAGUGGGGAAUCUUCCGCAAUGGGCGCAAGGCCUGACCGGAGCAACGCCGCGUGAGUGAAGAAGGGUUUCGACUCGUAAAGCUCUGUUGUCGGGGACGAAUGUGGAGAUGGUGAAUAACCAUUUCCAAUGACGGUACCUGACGAGGAAGCCACGGCUAACUACGUGCCAGCAGCCGCGGUAAAGU